UCUUUAUUCGAGUAUCGUAUCUUCUAACGAGACUUUAUAAGCAGCAAAAACACUAUGCUAAUCGUGAAACUCACCGUAUGUAUCGAAGCUAAAGCUCCGUAUAUUCUGUUAAGUUAUCCAAUAAGGGUUUUAACAUUGGUAAAUCAUAACCUCAGAAAGACGGAUCAACAUCUACGAUUCAUAUUGAUAAACUACAAUGGGUCCUUUUUUUUAAUGGUUUUUUCUUUUUUUUUUUUUACAUGACAUCCAUAUUUUAUUUUUCCUAUACCUAGGGCAGAACUCGUAUAUACAUACGUUCCCAAAUCUCAAAUCGGAGCAUUAUGAGAGUGAUCGGAAGAAUCAUCAGCACGUAUUACUCGUUUGACUUGAUCAGUUCAAACACAUAAAUAUAUACGGGAAUGUCGAAAGUACGUAUGAUAUUAUACAUAAUAUCUAAAUAGUUACGAAACAAGUGAAACAAAGUUAACCAUUAUUGUGGUAAUGUAGCGAAUAAUAGACAACGAGAACAAAGUACGCAUCUAACUCGAACUAUUCGCAAAACUAUGCAAUCACUAGGAGUACGUAAAAGUAAAGGGUUUCUCGUCCAACACAUUCACGACAAUAGCUACUUACAAAUAUAUCGCUGAUAUUACAUAAUCAAUAAUGCGGUAACUUUACAAGUUCUUCUAUCCACUUUACGUCGACGAACUAUUUUCGCUACGUUCGCGGUAACGAUAGAAAGCAUCCUCCCACGUCUGUUCUUUUAAAAAGAUCGAUAUCGCCGUCUGUCCAUGUCGCCUUCAUCCCGUUCCCUUCUCCUCCUCCUCCUUCAUCUCCUUCUCGUCCUUUUCUUCGUACAUACAUAAAUAUAUUAUCUCACAACGUGAUUAUUAAUACAUUGCUGACUUUAUAAAAAAUAACUAUGACACAGCUACUAUGUAACUAAUAGUACGAUUAUAAGAUGUUAUGUAAAUUACUUAAAAUAAAUGUAAAAAAAAAUAAUAAAGAAAAGGAAAUAAAUUUUUUACUCGAAG